rnacentral:tRNA from 1 species
UCCCUGGUUGCUCAGUGGGUUAAAGAUCCAGCACUGUCACUGCUGUGGUACAGGUUUGAUCCCUGGCCUGGGAA